CGCGGAGAGCUCACAGGUGAGUGGCGCUGGGCGGCCCUGUGCCCGCUUCCCUCCCUGGGGCGCGAACUCUCGGCUGGUUGCUUUCUCCACGGCCGCUCCUGGGACAGAGUAGCUCCGGGCAAGCUGGCAGCUGUCUGACUGGACCUGAUGCCACUGGGCCUGGUAGGAAGACAGAAUAUCUGUUUUGGACCUUAACAGGACUUUGCGGAAUCAGAAAAGAACCUGCUGUUGUACCUGGAAAAACAAAAGGAAGCUCUUUAUGUACACACAUGAUAAGAACGCAGAGAAAUAUUAAUGAGUAAAAACUGACAGUGACAAAAAAAAUCUAACAUCACUUAUAAAAACUAACUUGAAAUAGAUCAUAGUCCUGGAUGUAAGAGCUAAAACGAUAAAACUUAUAAAAGAAAAUAGAGAAGAAAAUCUUGGUAGCCUUGAAAUUUCUUAGAUUCAACAGCAAAAGCAAGAUACACAC
rnacentral:lncRNA from 10 species